UGUAAAUUACCGCGCCAACUCACUGAAUACAUUAUUUAAACCCUUCCUUACAUUAAACCCUUCCUUACAACACAUACAUGUUACCAUUGACAUUCACCGUUUCACAUACAGUUUGCCCAAUAUCCCUCACUCUAGAUCUCCACUUGUUCCCCUACUAUCCCCCAACUCCUCCCCACUUUACUCAUGUGAUGUGAUAGAGCUACUGAAUGUAUGUGUUAAUGACAUACAGUACACAUCAACCCCACCCCCUCACACAGAUCGACCCCUCUCUUGUCUAGCUCACGCACGACUGACCAGAGACGAACCUCUCGGAUUGACGUCUCUUUACACUCUUCAUCAUUCAUGGAUUACUUCGCCCACCCACCAGUGGUCCCUAUAUUGACUAUAGUUACGCUAGAGAAGCUGGCUGUUGUUACAACGACUGCUAUACACGUACAUGUAAACGGACAAGUAAGUGUUAGAGCGACAGUCACAUUGCUGGAUUAUUGUGUUCAUUGAACAUUACUAACCCUCCUCUCAGGUACAUGUACCAUGUGGCUGAGGGUGUGGGGCUCUACUCUUAGGAGACCUGGAGGGUGGUCACACAGACCAGUGGGCACUUGUCAAAAGGUCAAGGGUUAGUCGUUAUCAGAGGAACCACACUGGAUCAUACGUACGUGCUCGUAAUGAUAGACUGCAAACUAGAUUUAGUUGUGCAGUCCACUGAUGACUCCCGGCACAAUAAACAUAGGGGAAGAAAAGGUCGGGUUAGUCGUUAUCAGAGCAACCACACUGGAUCAUACGUACGUGCAUGUAAUGAUAGACUGCAAACUAGAUUUAGUUGUGCAGUCCACUGAUGACUCCCGGCACAAUAAACAUAGGGGAAGAAAAGGUCUAGACCUUCUGGGCCACAUGCGGGGAUUUUGCUAUUUGCACAUGGCGUGAUGAUGCACAUUAUUUUUUCACUAACUGUGCAUAUCUUAUUGCUAGAAUGUUUUGUGAGUCAUAUGUGAACUUUGCGAGUGUUGAUCAAUUCCCAAAAUAAAAUCCCAAAACCUCAAUUAGUAUUAUUAGUAUCAAUUACACACAAUCCGGUAGGUCAAUUUUUCUGCUGAUUUGGCUUGCAAAAUAAUUAUUCUAGUAAUACGAAUAACUAUUUUGCGGAAUUCAUGUGUAUGUCUGUUAUAGCUUACUUUGUUAUAGCUUACUUUGUUUUCUGGGCUAGUUAGAUCCUGUCGGUGUGUAUUGUGUGCAUGCAUGCUAUAGCUCUAUACCCCCAAUACACUUACUAACACACAGCUUCACCCCCCCCCCUGCACACACACACACACAUACACACACACACACACACACACAGCUAACACUUGGCCUGAGGUGCACGCUCGAACUCGUGCAUAGUUAUUGCUCACUACCCCCUGCGUUUUGUUCAUUAUUCAGCUCGGACUUCAAAGCUUUACCGUAUCCCUCGUGCGGCUACGCCUCGAGGCAUAAUAACAGAGAGAACAAGUCCUUAUUAACUCUGAAAGAAGUCAUUGAUGACAGAUGCAAGUUGACAUCCCAAGAAUCUGCCUCAAGUUAAAUACCGAGAGCUAGGGAUUGUCAAAGUCAACAAGAAAGAGAGACGCUCAGAAACAACACAGACUUUAAUACUUAGACAAUACUGCUUGUGUUCAUGUCCAUUCUCACAUUUGAUACAAGCUCUGGGCUUGAACUAGAUAACAUAGAUAGACUGAUAGUACUGUAGCUAUGUAGCUAUUACUGUAACAUGUUCUGUACGACAUUUUAAUUAUCAACAUUUCACAA